ACCCUGAGAUGCGUGUGCCCACGGGAUUGCAUCAUCCUCCCUUUGGGGCAGGCAGGGAAGGAAAGAAUGGGACAUAACUGACCUCGAAGGAAGGAACAGGGCGUGCUCCACAAAGCCAGGACAUGGACUUCAGUGAAACCAGCCCAGCGGGCCGCACUCCAAUGCCAUUUAACCCAGAAGCCAGCUUACCAGAUAGGACAUAAGAAAGCCUCUUAUUAUUUUGAGAUACGUUCCAUCAAUACAUAGCUUACUGAGAGUUUUUAGCAUAAAGUACUGUUGAAUUUUGUCUAAGGCCUUCUCUGCAGCUGUUGAGAUAAUCACGUGGUUUUUGUCUUCGGUUCUGUUUGUGAGAUGGAUUACGUCGGUAGAUUUGUGUAUGUUGAACCAGCCUUGCAUCCCAGGGAUAAAGCCGACUUGAUGGUGAUGGGUAAGCUUUUGCUGUGCUGUUGGAUUUGGCCUGCCAGUGUUUGAUUGAGGAUUUUCACAUCAAUGUUCAUCAUGGAUAUUGGCCUGAAAUUUUCUGUUUUAGUUGUGUCUCUGCCAGGUUUUGGUGUGCAGCAAACCACCACGGCACAUGUAUACCUAUAUAACAAGCCUGCACAUUCUGCACAUGUACCUCAGAACUGAAAACAUAAGAAUUUAAAAAAAAGAAGAAAGUCUCAAAGGGAGAUGAUUUUUCAAGGGUCACUUGUCAAGACGUACGCUUUUUGGAUAUCCUCAGAAGUGACUAAGAAAUGUCUUUUAAGGAUGAAUCUCAUCUUCUGAAACAACCAGAGACGCCAGAAGCCAAAUGCGGAAUCUCUCCAUUCAGUCACAGAGCGGCAGUGCCUUGCAGAAUCGUCAUUUUGUGACAUCCCGAACCACAAUAUUCUGUCUCACCUCACAAAAAUCUGAAGCACUUUACACGGCUUUGAAAGAAGAUCCGCCCUAUCAUGAACAACGUAAGAAAGGCCGGUGACUCACGGCCCGUAAUCCCAGCACAUUGGGAGGCUGAGGAGGGCAGAUUACUGAGGUCAAGCAUUUAAGACCAGCCUGGCCAACAUGGUGAAACCCCAUCUCUACAAAAAAAAAUACAAAAAUUAGCCAGGCAUAGUGGCACAUGCCUGUAAUCCCAGCUACUCCGGAGGCUGAGGCAGGAGAAUCACUUGAAGCUGGGAGGCAGAGGUUGCAGCGAGCUGAGAUCAGGCCACUGCACUCAAGACUGGGCAACAGAGCGAGACUCCAUCUCAGAAAAAUAAAAAAUAAAUAAAAAUAAAAUUUAAAAAAAAAGCAAGGUCGAGAAGAGUCAUUAUUUGAACAAUGCACUGACAGAGACUCCAGCA
rnacentral:lncRNA from 1 species